rnacentral:rRNA from 1 species
AGUUGAUCAUGGCUCAGGAUGGACGCUAGCGACAGGCCUAACACAUGCAAGUCGAGGGCAGCGCGGAGUAGCAUACUUGGCGGCGACCGGCGCACGGGUGAGUAACACGUAUGCAACCAACCAUAACAGGGGGAUAACCCGGAGAAAUCCGGACUAAUACCGCAUAAGACCACGAUAUCGCAUGAUAUAGAGGUCAAAUAUUUAUAGGUUAUGGACGGGCAUGCGUCUGAUUAGCUGGUUGGCGGGGUAACGGCCCACCAAGGCAUCGAUCAGUAGGGGUUCUGAGAGGAAGGUCCCCCACACUGGAACUGAGACACGGUCCAAACUCCUACGGGAGGCAGCAGUGAGGAAUAUUGGUCAAUGGGCGAAAGCCUGAACCAGCCAUGUCGCGUGAAGGAAUGAAGGUCCUAUGGAUUGUAAACUUCUUUUGCAGGAGGGUAAAGUGAGCUACGUGUAGUUCAUUGCAAGUACCCUGCGAAUAAGCAUCGGCUAACUCCGUGCCAGCCGCAGC